UACGUAGGGUGCAAGCGUUAAUCGGAAUUACUGGGCGUAAAGCGUGCGCAGGCGGUUUUGCAAGACAGCUGUGAAAUCCCCGGGCUCAACCUGGGAACUGCAUUUGUGACUGCACGGCUGGAGUGCGGCAGAGGGGGAUGGAAUUCCGCGUGUAGCAGUGAAAUGCGUAGAUAUGCGGAGGAACACCGAUGGCGAAGGCAAUCCCCUGGGCCUGCACUGACGCUCAUGCACGAAAGCGUGGGGAGCAAACAGG
rnacentral:rRNA from 1 species